UGUAAGUUUUUUGAUUAGCAAUGUGGUUUUUCAACUCUUCUUCUGUUUGGUUUUUGGAAAGUUUAUUAUAUACAAAGGACUGCCUUGGUUUAUUAAUUACGAUUUAUAGAAAUUGGGGAUUGAUUUUGCUAUGAGUAAAUUUAUGGAUUUUAUUCAAUUUUGCCUGCAUUUUCUGGGGAAACUAUCGAAUUGGUUUCAGUGAUCACAGUGAUGAUCUGUGGAUGGAGCUGUGUUAGUGUUGGUUUUGACUAUGGUUUUGGUGGGAUUGUUAUCUAUCUAGAUCGCAGGAAGAAAUAGCCAGGGAGGCAAUAAAGCAUGUAUUAAGCGAAAGCGACUUUGGAUUGAAGAAGGCGCUCAUGCUCUGGCCUAUAUCGCUCUAUCGAAGCCUCUAGUUUCUCAGUCAUUGCAGCUAGCAGCUCAAACAAUUGGUAUGUCUGGGAUGGUAAACAGGCCUAGGCAUUGGUAGACUGAGAUAGAACUAAAGGAAAAGGAAACAUGUCUUUGGGCAAGGGUAUUGGGUCCUUCUUUAAAGUUUCAAGUGAUUGAUAUUAAUUUGCUUAUAUAAUUUGGUAGUUUUGAAGAAGCCCAUAGACUCCUAAUCAACAUGAUUGAUUCUGAAAUUUUAGCUGAUGUAUGUACAUAUAGUAUUGUAAUUGAUUCUCUUUGCAAAGUGGAGAAACUGAAAGAGUUAUAUGAACUGAUGUUAUCAAACGGGGUUUACCAGAUUCACUUUGAUCAAAGGCUAUAUGAAGGUUGAUAAAACACAAGUGUUAGUAGUGAGUUCUCAUCAUAUAGUUUAUGUUCCGUAACUAGCAUUGUACAAAUUAGGGAAUAAGUGGCUGCAUUACCCAGAUUGAUUGUGUUGUGUGUACCAAGACAUGAGAACCAAGUACAGCAAAGGAUAGCAUAUAUACUUCAAUCAGAAAGGUCCUAUUUUUGAUGUAUCAUUACUUUGCUGCAACUGAGAUAUAUAAUGUGAUCCGUGUCUUUAUUGCUGCAUAUGUUUGGAUGAUUGGAUUUGGCAACUUUUCCUACUAUUACAUCAGAAAAGAUUUUAGUCUUGCACGUUUUACUCAGGGUAUACCGAUCCUGCAAAGCCAGAUCUCUCUCGGCUGCAUGAGUGGCAUUUCAGAUCUGGACUUGAUCGUUAUAUAUGGAUCAUUGGAAUGAUAUAUGCAUAUUGUCAUCCAAAUGUUGAGAAGUGGAUGGAAAAAUUGGAGGAAACAGAAACCAAGAAGAGAGUUUCAAUCAAAGGGAUUGUAGUUGCUGUUUCCGUAUUUGUUGGUUAUUUAUGGUUCGAGUACAUUUACAAGCUCGACAAGGUUUCAUAUAACAAGCUCCAUCCCUACACCUCAUGGAUCCCUAUAACGGUUUAUAUAAGUUUGCGGAACUUCACCCAGCAGUUCCGAAAUUUCUCCAUAUAAAUUGUCUAACCCUUAAAAAGGCUCAAACAUCAGGAUCAUUUAUUCUUCUAAUUUUUUUAACGUUAUACUUUUGACAAUUUAUAUGUAGAUGGCUUGGAAAGGUUACUCUUGAA